UGGGGAAUAUUGCGCAAUGGGCGAAAGCCUGACGCAGCAACGCCGCGUGAGUGAUGAAGGCCUUCGGGUCGUAAAGCUCUGUCGGAGGGAACGAAUGCUCUUGAGGUUAACAGCCUCGGGAGGUGACGGUACCCUCAAAGGAAGCACCGGCUAACUCUGUGCCAGCAGCCGCGGUAAUACAGAGGGUGCAAGCGUUGUUCGGAAUCAUUGGGCGUAAAGGGCGUGUAGGCGGUAUGUUAAGUCAUGUGUGAAAUCCCUCGGCUCAACCGGGGAACGACGCAUGAAACUAGCAAGCUAGAGUACCAAAGAGGGUGGUGGAAUUCCCGGUGUAGCGGCGAAAUGCGUAGAUAUCAAGAGGAACACCUGAGGUGAAGACGGGUUGCUGGGCUGACACUGACGCUGAGGCGCGAAAGCCAGGGGAGCAAACGGGAUUAGAUACCCCCGUAGUCCCUGAGCGGGCUGGCAAGGCGCAU
rnacentral:rRNA from 1 species